rnacentral:rRNA from 1 species
GUUUGAUCCUGGCUCAGGAUGAACGCUGGCGGCGUGCCUAAUACAUGCAAGUCGAACGAAUCUUCUUCGGAAGAUGAGUGGCGAACGGGUGAGUAAUACAUAGGUAACCUGCCCCUGUGCGGGGGAUAACAGGAGGAAACUCCUGCUAAUACCGCAUAGCCAUGAGCACCGCAUGGAGCUCAUGCCAAAUAUCCUUCAGGGGAUAGCGCAGGGAUGGACCUAUGGCGCAUUAGCUAGUUGGCGGGGCAACGGCCCACCAAGGCAACGAUGCGUAGCCGGCCUGAGAGGGCGGACGGCCACAUUGGGACUGAGACACGGCCCAGACUCCUACGGGAGGCAGCAGUAGGGAAUUUUCGGCAAUGGGGGAAACCCUGACCGAGCAACGCCGCGUGAGCGAAGAAGGCCUUCGGGUCGUAAAGCUCUGUUGUAAAGGAAGAACGUCGCAUGCAGGAAAUGGUGUGCGAGUGACGGUACUUUACCAGAAAGCCACGGCUAACUACGUGCCAGCAGCCGCGGUAAUACGUAGGUGGCGAGCGUUAUCCGGAAUCAUUGGGCGUAAAGAGGGAGCAGGCGGCCGCAAGGGUCUGUGGUGAAAGACCGAAGCUAAACUUCGGUAAGCCAUGGAAACCGGGCGGCUAGAGUGCGGAAGAGGAUCGUGGAAUUCCAUGUGUAGCGGUGAAAUGCGUAGAUAUAUGGAGGAACACCAGUGGCGAAGGCGACGGUCUGGGCCGCAACUGACGCUCAUUCCCGAAAGCGUGGGGAGCAAAUAGGAUUAGAUACCCUAGUAGUCCACGCCGUAAACGAUGGUCACUAAGUGUCGGGGGUCAAACCCCGGUGCUGCAGUCAACGCAAUAAGUGACCCGCCUGAGUAGUACGUUCGCAAGAAUGAAACUCAAAGGAAUUGACGGGGG